rnacentral:lncRNA from 1 species
UAAUUUUUCAAAAAUAGUCUGCGCUUGUUGAUAUGUUUCUGUGCAUGCAGUGCGUCAAAUGAUCUAAAUGUAUCGUAUUAUUCAGAAGUGGCAGGGUUAAGAAUGCAGUUUGCCGGUCAUUUUCAUUGAGCGUCAGUGUUGAUAUUAAUAUGAUACACAGAACUUGAUGAUAGAGGUGAAGGGGGCCCAAGACUUUUUUCCAUAUUAUUAUUUUAUGGAUACCAAGGGUAAUUGCCAAGGGCAAGCGGUAUAUUUUUGACCAGAAUUCAAUCUGGUGGCGUUUUGUGGCCGUCACAUGUUCGGGUUUCGUUCGUAAGCGUGUAGAUUUGUAAAUAGGCCUAACUUAUGCAUCGCCUACUGACCGCACUGACAGUUAUCGCCAUUUCUUCUGUGUUAUUUCUGAAAUCAUUACUAUUUAAAGUUUACAUGUACUAAUCUUCUGACUUUGAUUUUUGUGCAACAAUGUGGCUCAUCCAGGCCAUGGGAAUGGUUAAGUAGAUUUCUCUUAUACAGCGAAAAGAGGGAAUCAAAACAAUGGAAGUAUUCAGAUCGACUCUCUGUAGGCUGCUAGUUAUAGCCCUAGUCUAAAGUGAUCAAUGAUGUUAUGAAAAAAAUCGUAUUUUCGGGAAGAGACAGAAACAUACUUGAUGUUUCCGAAAAGGCCUAAUUAGCACUGACUGAAGUAGCCUAAAUGUGGAUCAUCAGGUUGUUGCUGCUGUCUAUAAAGUUUAUCAUAGCAAGGUGCUUAUCAUGUGUAUUUUUAUUAUUUCCGAAAAAAGAAUCAAUUCAUCAUUUUCCGAUAACUAGAUCUAUGUCCGACUCCUUUCUAAUGAAAACGAGCAAAAGUAAAAUGAGUCUCUCGUCGCGCGCUAUAACGGGGUGUUUGCGGUAUUGUCCUCUCUGGUGAUGAUAAGCUAGUCGAUAGUCAAAAGUUAAAUAUCACCAUAUAUUGUCAGUGAGUUGGUCAUCGUUUGUUGAUGAUUAAAGUGAGAUAGGUGUAGCCAAUGUGCACCAAUGAAAAAUACAAUGGAAUUGAUGGCAACCAUAUUCUUUCGGUUUUCGAUCUGCAUAUGUUGCCACGUAGGCUACCAUACUACAGAAUUAUAUUUAACGAUAUUUAACUGUAUUAGAUCUAUGUUAAUAAACGUAGUGACAAAUAAAUUUCAAUAAAUAUUUAGAGCUGUUUCAACUUCGUCUGGUAUUGUAUAAGCUAUUGCAUUUUGUUUAUUUCCCCAUGUUUCUAAUCUUUGUAAAUGUUAGAACAUAUAUAACUAUCCUGGCAUAUUAAUAUGGAAAAUAUUAAGGUAGAUCUAAGUAUUAAAAAAAAUCACAGUUUUAAUUAGGAUAAAUACCCUAAAGUGUUAACACUUUUAUCACUUAUUGGUGGGCCAAUUCAUAAUUCAUAUUCAACAUUCUUGCUUCAAAUAUGGGAACUAUUUAUUUUAUUUGGCAAUAUAUAUUUUUCAUUUAUGUACAUAUUUUUCAAAUAAGGUUUUAGAAACUUGGCCAUGAUAUCCACUUGAAUCACUAGUUUGAGUGUACAGCAGAAAGGUAAAGUUACUGCUUUUGAAAAACUACAGUUGAUCUGUUGACUGAUAAAACUAUUUGCCAAUAUUACUAUCAGUUACAUCAUACUCUAUUAGUCUAAGUAAAUGGGAUUUAUCUAUACAGUACUGGUUUAUUUAAGAAUGUGAUACUUUGUGGUUUCUGUUUUUCUUUCAGGUGGAGAAAACAGUAUUGUGGGAGCGUAUUUGUUUAAAGUACAUAUCACUGACACAAAGUUACCAAGGCAUAAGGAGAGACUGAGGAUACAGUUGAAGAUCAUCCCUGUGACUUUUCAUUUGAGGACUGAAAAGGCUCCCCAGCAACUCAGCCCAUGUUCUGACUUGUCAUUUAACAAAUAAAUAAAGGUCACCUCAA